CCUACGGGUGGCAGCAGUGGGGAAUAUUGGACAAUGGGGGGAACCCUGAUCCAGCCAUGCCGCGUGUGUGAAGAAGGCCCUCGGGUUGUAAAGCACUUUCAGUGAGGAAGAACGCCUGGUGGUUAAUACCCAUCAGGAAAGACAUCACUCACAGAAGAAGCACCGGCUAACUCCGUGCCAGCAGCCGCGGUAAUACGGAGGGUGUGAGCGUUAAUCGGAAUUACUGGGCGUAAAGCGCGCGUAGGUGGCUUGAUAAGCCGGUUGUGAAAGCCCCGGGCUCAACCUGGGAACGGCAUCCGGAACUGUCAAGCUAGAGUGCAGGAGAGGAAGGUAGAAUUCCCGGUGUAGCGGUGAAAUGCGUAGAGAUCGGGAGGAAUACCAGUGGCGAAGGCGGCCUUCUGGACUGACACUGACACUGAGGUGCGAAAGCGUGGGUAGCAAACAGGAUUAGAUACCCCGGUAGUC
rnacentral:rRNA from 1 species